CCUACGGGUGGCAGCAGUGAGGAAUAUUGGUCAAUGGGCGCGAGCCUGAACCAGCCAAGCCGCGUGCAGGAUGACGGCCCUACGGGUUGUAAACUUCUUUUAUAAGGGAAUAAAGUCAGGCACGCGUGCCUUUUUGUAUGUACUUUAUGAAUAAGGAUCGGCUAACUCCGUGCCAGCAGCCGCGGUAAUACGGAGGAUUCGAGCGUUAUCCGGAUUUAUUGGGUUUAAAGGGUGCGUAGGCGGUCUGUUAAGUCAGUUGUGAAAGUUCGGGGCUCAACCGUGAAAUUGCAAUUGAUACUGGCAGGCUUGAGUACAGUUGAGGUAGGCGGAAUGCGUGGUGUAGCGGUGAAAUGCUUAGAUAUCACGAAGAACUCCGAUUGCGAAGGCAGCUUACUAAACUGCCACUGACGUUGAUGCUCGAAAGUGUGGGUAUCAAACAGGAUUAGAUACCCGUGUAGUC
rnacentral:rRNA from 1 species